rnacentral:rRNA from 1 species
UACAUGGGGUGCAAACGUUGCUCGGAAUUAUUGGGCGUAAAGCGCGCGUAGGCGGUUAUCUAAGUCGGAUGUGAAAGCCCUCGGCUUAACUGAGGAAGUGCACCCGAAACUGGAUAGCUAGAGUACGAAAGAGGGUCGCGGAAUUCCCGGUGUAGAGGCGAAAUUCGUAGAUAUCGGGAGGAACACCGGUGGCGAAGGCGGCGACCUGGGUCGAGACUGACGCUGAGGCGCGAAAGCGUGGGGAGCAAACAGG